GUAAGGAAUAUUGGACAAUGGACGCAAGUCUGAUCCAGCCAUGCCGCGUGAAGGAUUAAGGUCCUCUGGAUUGUAAACUUCUUUUAUAAGGGACGAAAAAAGGCUUUUCUAAGUCGUCUGACGGUACCUUAUGAAUAAGCACCGGCUAACUCCGUGCCAGCAGCCGCGGUAAUACGGAGGGUGCAAGCGUUAUCCGGAUUCACUGGGUUUAAAGGGUGCGUAGGCAGGCAGGUAAGUCAGUGGUGAAAUCCUAGAGCUUAACUCUAGAACUGCCAUUGAUACUAUCUGUCUUGAAUAUUGUGGAGGUAAGCGGAAUAUGUCAUGUAGCGGUGAAAUGCUUAGAUAUGACAUAGAACACCUAUUGCGAAGGCAGCUUACUACGCAUAUAUUGACGCUGAGGCACGAAAGCGUGGGGAUCAAACAGGAUUAGAAACCCUUGUAGUCC
rnacentral:rRNA from 1 species